GGCAGCCAAUAACUCCGGAGAGACAAACCCGUAAGGCCAGAAUUCUGAGAAGUGAGUCCGAGGAAGUCCAACGCAAAAUACUCAACCAGGCAUUUGUCAGUGGCGUUGCUACUACAGCGCAGCGUGAUGGGAGCCAAUUCUGACCUGGUGCAAGAUACUCCCAGGCCUGGAGAGUUAGCAUAUGGUUUAGACGUCUGCCACCAGCCCUCUACUCCAUCAGCCUGUGCCUCGGGCUCUGUAAAGGAAAACCACUGGUCUUCCAGUCUGACCCUGAAUGUUCUGGGCUGACAGCCUUCGAAUGGGCUGCCAUGGCAACCACUUGCCAACUGUUGUGCCACUCUCUCUG